rnacentral:rRNA from 1 species
GAUGAACGCUGGCGGCGUGCUUAACACAUGCAAGUCGAACGAAGCACUUUAUUUGAUUUCCUUCGGGACUGAUUAUUUUGUGACUGAGUGGCGGACGGGUGAGUAACGCGUGGGUAACCUGCCUUGUACAGGGGGAUAACAGUUGGAAACGGCUGCUAAUACCGCAUAAGCGCCCAGCAUCGCAUGAUGCAGUGUGAAAAACUCCGGUGGUAUAAGAUGGACCCGAGUUGGAUUAGCUAGUUGGUGAGGUAACGGCCCACCAAGGCGACGAUCCAUAGCCGAGCUGGGAGGGUGGCCGGCCACAUUGGGACUGAGACACGGCCCAAACUCCUGCGGGAGGGAGCAGGGGGGAAUAUUGAACAAUGGGCGAAAGCCUGAUGCAGCGACGCCGCGUGAGCGAAGAAGUAUUUCGGUAUGUAAAGCUCUAUCAGCAGGGAAGAUAAUGACGGUACCUGACUAAGAAGCACCGGCUAAAUACGU